GCAUUGGUGGUUCAAUUGUAGAAUUCUUACCUUCCAUGUGGGAGACCUGGGUUCAACUCUGGCCAAUGUA
rnacentral:tRNA from 1 species